GUGACAGUGCCACUAAGGGUGGGAUAACUCCUUCUUGGAGAGCCAUUAUACAAUAUUUAUUAGAGGAUGAGCAGACCCGUAAUAGUGCAGCUGCUGCAUUCUCUUUUCCUCUGGCUGAACCCAAUUCAAUAGCCUCGACCAACACAGGGAUCCCACCCAUCCUUCCAAUUUCAACCUUUCCCUCCUGAAUUGUAGCAAGAUUUGCUAGAACAGCAACUGUCUUGUCAACCAUUGCAACUGAUGGAUCCAUCAACUCUACGAGAUGCUUAACAGCUCCAGCUUGUACAAUCUUGACCUUGUUCUCUGGAAGCAUAGACAGAUAAAACAAUGCAGUUGUUGCAUCUUUCCUUCCCCUAGGAGUCCCAUUACCUAGUAGUUCAACCAGAGGC
rnacentral:misc_RNA from 1 species